ACAGACUCAGCCUGGCCAUAGAGUUAAGGUAAUUUAGAUUUAGUCUCCCACUAGGUGGCAGGCAUGGCUAAUCAAUGUGCGUCUUGCCUUGAAGAAGCCUCAUAAAGCAUGUGCGGUUAAGAGAAUGCACAUCAGGGGCAUGUAGUCUUGGAUCAAUUGUGAAAUCUUCGUUCCAUACCACCUGCAGCACAUGGGACAGUUCAGCAUGCGGCCGAGGAGGUUUGAUUAGUCUGCCAAACAUUAUGCGGAACUGAAUGCUGCUGGAUCCUCCUGAACAACUGAUGGCUUGUUUAUUGGAUGUUACACACUAUGACCACUGUUUCGCUGGUCCACGUUGACUAUGGUGCACAGGAAAUAAAGUAUAAAUGCUCUUUCCUCGCUGACCAAUGCUUCACUUUUUUUUCUUUCAAAGGGAAAAAUCUACCCUUCCCUGGGAACGUCUGUAGUUUUCCACAUAUAGGGAAAAUUACUUUUUUUCAUUUUUUAUUGAUCAUAGACUUCUGUAUCUGGAUUAAAAA